UACGGGGGGGGCAAGCGUUGUUCGGAAUUACUGGGCGUAAAGGGCGCGUAGGCGGCCUUCUAAGUCGGACGUGAAAUCCCUCGGCUUAACCGAGGAACUGCGUCCGAUACUGAAAGGCUUGAAUCCGGGAGAGGGAUGUGGAAUUCCAGGUGUAGCGGUGAAAUGCGUAGAUAUCUGGAGGAACACCGGUGGCGAAGGCGGCAUCCUGGACCGGUAUUGACGCUGAGGCGCGAAAGCUAGGGGAGCAAACAGG
rnacentral:rRNA from 1 species